ensembl:lncRNA
UGGAAGCAGCAGAACAUUUUUUGGACUCAGGGAUCAGAGAAGAGUUUGGGCCAGAUCAAACGCAGCUUUGCAAACAAUCUGAUUGUGUGGACAGGGGAUAAAAGCAGCACACCUGAAUGAAACCGCUGGGGUGUAACUUUCCAUUCUGAUCUGCCUGAAGUAACUUUUUAGAUACCUUGGCCAAAGCAGAUUCAAGUACUGAGUACGCCGAGCGGUGCAGGAUCUCCACAUUCCUAUGUAGAAGGUGACACCCCUGUCCACUACUGAAGCUCCCAUAGAAAGAAUAGCGUUUCCUUGCAGUUAAGAAUGUAUAUAUAUUUUUGAGAUGCGAAAAUGGGUUCACGCAAAAUACUCAGUGGUGCAUUUUAUUAAAGGCACAUUAAAUGUUUGUGUACCUGCGUACACAUGAAUGAAUCUGCACAUGCCAAAGUCAACAAUUCUGGAAAGAAGGUCUUUGACGUCAAUAACUUUGAUAAGUAGAUUUAACCAUUGUUGAGGUAGAACUCCAGAAGCUAAAAAGUGGCUUAAUCAGCUGACCUAAAUGAUAUAAUAUUUGUGAUGCUAAUUACAGAUCUUAAUGUAAAGCAGUGGUACUGAUAGUGAAAAUACAAAUGAUAUAUUAUUUUUGCUAAGACACUGUUUGCUGAUAAUAACUAAAUCAAGC